AGCGCAGUUCUCGCGAGAGUUGGUAUGAAAAGGCAAGAAGCGCGGGAGACCGCGGCUCGAGUGGAGUUGGCGCGCGCGCAAGGAACAGCGCAAUAACAAUAACAAACACAAAUAACUACUACACCACAACAACCACAACACUACAACAGACGCCGUUCAGUUGGCGGUUUACACCACUGCGCUUGUUGGUGCCAGGCUAGGUGGACGUUGAGGCCGUUUGCGUGCGGUGUGCGGAGGGGGCUCGCGUCAGCCACAGGUGGCCGCCGGGAGGAGACAUGGCUCAGACUCCCGUGUCGUCUGCGGUGCCGCUGCGGAGACCCCUCGGCCUGAGCGCCUCCAAAGAGAAGUCUGCGCGCAUCCGCUUGCUUCAGCUGAACUUCAGGAAGCGCCUCUCAGCGCAAGCGGCCACGGAUGCAUCGCCCGCAUUAUCUAUAAAGCUUCCGAAAAAUGCAAGCACUCCAGACAUGAGUCCUUACACCCUGUUGAAAAAGAUCCACAGCACAGCCGUGGAGGUUAGCCCUGUGGAGGUGUUUAAGCCCAUGCCUGAACAUGUGAAGGAUGAUGCGGAGACUUGCAAGAAAUCUGAAACAAGCAGUAUGUUCGAGUUCACACCGACGGACGAGAGUGAGAGCGAGACACUGCAGCAGCGGCACCACCGCCCCAUGAUGACGCCGGUCGACAUGCAGACAUUCACCAAGAGAUUCCAGCAAGCCAUGGAUGGCAGAGACCUACCUGCAUUGGAACGAUCUGCCAUGAGCAGCUUAAGCCUGAACACUUCACUCGACUCCGAGGAGGAGGAUGACGAUGCGAUGGGGGUGAAGAUACGACGCAGCCUCACGAGGGCACCAACGCAAAUGGCCAACAAGGAGGCCUUUUUGCAGCGUCUACAACAACAUUUGAGAGAGGAGGCUGAGGAGCCCCGACCUGCGCACACCACAGACUUGAUGGCUGGAGGGGUUUCUGAACUGUCCAUCGGGGAACACACCUCGCAUUUCUCAGAAAGUAGUAGCAGCAAGCGCACACUGAGAGACCGAUCCACGCCGGGAGUCAGGAAUAUGGCGGCAAAGACACUAGAUGGUCAUAUGGAAGUGUCGGGAAGGGCAGAAGACAAGCAUAGUGACGAUAUGGAAGAAAACGGUGUUCCUGCAGAAGUGACUAUGUCGGGUUACCUUAGUCCAGUUAUUGACAUUCACCCAUCACCGCACAUUGGCACCCCAAUCUUAUCUGCAAUACAGAGUGGCCUGCAGGACAGCGAUGGAGAUGGCACAGGGGCAGAGGAACUGAAGACGACGCGUGAAAGCGACGAGAUGUCUGAAGAAAUAUCUGGAUUGAACCCCAGGGAGGAAGCAGAAAUGUCAUCUGCCGAGUUAGUAUAUCCCAUGUCUUUUCCACACCUCGGCCACACAUCUCCAGUUGGUGAAGAGUUGAUGGGUGACGAGGAGGGGGGGGAGUCAAAACCUGAGUCAGACGGUGACCAAGCUGGCCCUGCUGGAGAUGCCUUGGAUUUUGGACGUAGCCACAAUUUGGCAACGUCACCUUAUGAAGAAGAAGAGAGAAGAUUACGGCAGUAGUAACGAUGAAGGAGAGUUAAAAUUGCAUGAAGUGAAGGCGUUCAACAAGCCCUCGCCAACUCUGAACACUCCUGCUUUCUUCACGAGAGACAAACUUUCUAAAGGCAAGCAGAAGGGCCCGUUGAAGAUAAACAAAGCUACUUCAAAAAGGGGCAAGACAGAGAAAAUGUUGAAGAUACCGAUGAAGGAGAUCAAGAAUAUCUGCCAGAGAUUUGUGCCCUGCCGGCUGAACAGAGAUGCCCUUUUGGCCAUUGAAAAGAGACUGCCACUGUUAUUUGAACAGAUGUUGGAUGACCUGGAUGCAUUUGCAUCCCAUGCUGGGAGGAAAACGAUUACAAUCGCAGAUGUGGAGCUGCUGAUGAAGAGGCAGCGUUAUGUGACGGACACGAUGCCUCUCGUAGCCCUGGCUCGCGAGUAUCUCCCCAUGGAGAAGCGCGUGGAGUUGCUGGACAUUGUGCUGGGCAAGGUCCUGCCACCGCUGCCCAUGACAAACAUAGAACAUUGAGAAAGCUGCAUGUGCGGGAAACACCACCCAAUGCUAGCACAACACACACACGCAUUGUCUUAACCAGCCUCAUUUUGGUUUGCGAGAGGAAGUAUCAGCUGUAACCCGGCAAUUUUUGGGCCUCCACGAAAGCGAACUCUAGAGGGUAUUUGGCCUACUGUUCCACGCAGACCAAACGUGUCGGACAAGGUAGGAGAGUCCCACACUAUAUUCCUUUGCACACCAUCUCUGCCGAUCGGCUAACUUGUGAACGCAUUCUGCUAGGUGGACAGAGGCGGGCGGGAUUUGGUAAAUGCACUCAUUGUUUCAACUGCCGUGGCGGGAAAUGGCAUUUAGUUGGCGACCUCUGGAUGGCAAGUCCAGCGUACUAACCAUUACACCACUGAGUGCUGUCCUUUGAAUAUGCUUUACAAUUACUCAAACUAAGCACCGUAUAGUAUUAUAUAUAAGCAUUAGUUUGGCUGUUUUUCAUUGCAAUAACAGUAAAUAUUAUUCGAAAAUACUUGUCAGCUUUCAAAAUAUUUUAUGCACUAUCUGAAGUGUAUGUAUAGCCCUUAACUACUGUUAACUCAAUAUAGAAUUGAAGCUUU